CUUACCGGACUUUGGGAUUCCAUUCCAAGGUUUGAGGUCAAACGCCAGCAAUAAAAUGUGUAUUUGCUGGUCUUUUCCAAGGACCUUUUCCAUCUUAGUAUGGAAAAGCCAGGAGACUUUCUGUUAAAGACUCCAGAUUCUCGGCCAAAUCCCACCUCCCUGGCUAUAAUGAAAUGUGGCGAACGAGGAGCUACUUCAUCAGAGAAGCAUGAUGAUUUAUGAAAGCAAAUGGAGGCUACAAAGAAAGGAGUGAUAACGUGAUAUGUACACUUUAAUAUCCACCGUCUGUACCCUGAUGGUGAAGUCAAGAGCACAGGACAGUCCUUGGCCGAAGUUAUAUACGUGGAGUCACCAUUGGCUGACCCCACCAGAAGCCAGGAGGACGAGAGAGCCUGGGUAAUGCAGGUCAUAAAGAGAUGGGCAGAAGGGAGAUCUAGAAACGCAAAUUAAAAAUAACUAGCAAACACAUGCUAUUCUCUAAUUGUAAUGCCCUUCCCUAUUUUUUAUCUGUCAAAAUCCUGAUCACUCAAUUCAUGAGGAACAUUCUCUGUGGAAUUACAGUGCUUCCCAACAAAGAGAACCGGUCUUUUCUCUUAUUUGAAUGCAUGCAUCUGUGGAAAGAAUAUUGAUUCAUGCAAAUAUGUGACAGACACAGUAAUAAUAUGUAUUAUUUGCCUACUUUAUUUCUAAAAUCUUUUAAGGUAGAUAGUAUAUCUAGGCUUAGCAGGUUGAGCAAGCUGUCCACAUGUACAGAGCUGGUGGUUGGCA